AAACCUCAAUAAAACAAAAAACUAAAUAAAACAAACAAAAUAAAAAUCUAAACAAAACACUAAACAAAUGAAACAAACAAAAACAAAACAAAAGAACACUGAAGAACACUGUGAAGUGAUUUCGAGAGGGGCAGGGCUCUGAGAGCUCAAUAAUGAGAAACAACUCAGUUCUUCCUUUUUAUGGUGGCUCUUAUAAAUGUGCUUUGUCUCCCUAGGGACAAACCUGUUUGGUUAACACGUGUGACUCUGCAAACCUCUUUGUGAACUCCCAAGCAGAGGGGAUACCACACACACGGGAAAGAGCAGUCAUGACCUGGGUUACAAGGACCCUCAAUUACUUGCUGCAGUGCAUACCGGGGUUACAGCGCAGUGGGGAGGGAUUCUUUGGUGUGUUAUUUUGCCAGCAUUUCCCAAAGUCACAUUCCCAAGUGUCAAACACUUAACACUUCGUUUUUUAACAUUUCAGAGAUAUCAGAAGAUUGUCAGUUAAUGCCACUGCAAAUACAAUAUUAUAUUGUAUAGCAUUAUUGUAUUUAUUAUUAAAGUGUAUUGUGUAUUGUCUCUAAAGGGGUCAUAUGAUGCGAUUUCUAUUUUUCCUUUUCUUUAGUGUGCUGUGUAGCUAUUUGUGCAUGGAUGAGAUCUGCAGAGUUACAAAGCUCAAAGUCUCCCACAAAAGGAUUUAUUCUAUCUAAAAGAGAAGGCUGAUCCAGACCGGGCUAAAACACCUCAUUCAAACACGCCCCACAUGUCUACGUCACGAUGUGGAAAUAUUCGCAUAAGGCCGCCCAAAUGUUCAUGCAAAGAAUGUAGGUGUGGUUUCAGGAACCGCNAUCUUUAAAAUAGCAUCAUAUGACCACUUUAAGAAUACUAAUUGGUGAUAAAUUUAGGUUCCAGUAAACCGGGUUAGUAAAGCUGUUAAAUACUGAUAAUGGAUAACACUAAGGUGUCAUUUGUAUCCAAAAUGCAGUAUUAAAUUACCGGUCAAAAGUUCAGAAUAAUUAAUAUUUUAAAAAGUUUUGGUCUUUAAUGCACACCAAGGCUAUAUUUAUUUGAAUAAGAAAAUACAGUAAAAACAGGAAUAUUGUGAAAUAUUAUUACAAUUUGAAAAUGUAAUUUAUUCCUGUGACGGCAAAGCCUUUAGUGUCAC
ensembl:lncRNA